GACGAAGGACCCGAGCGUUAUCCGGAUUCAUUGGGUUUAAAGGGUGCGUAGGCGGACUGAUAAGUCAGUGGUGAAAUCCCCAGGCUCAACUUGGGAACUGCCAUUGAUACUGUCGGUCUUGAAUACAGCUGAUGUGGGCGGAAUAUGACAUGUAGCGGUGAAAUGCUUAGAUACGUCAUAGAACACCGAUUGCGAAGGCAGCUCACAAAACUGUUAUUGACGCUGAGGCACGAAAGCGUGGGGAUCAAACAGG
rnacentral:rRNA from 1 species